AGUUAUCUCCCACCAGGUUCCUCCCUCCCACAACACGUGGGAAUUAUGGGAGUAAAAUUCAAGAGGAGACUUGGGUAGGGACACACAGCCAAACCAUAUCACUACCCAUCCAUCCAUCCAUUCAUUUAUUCCUUCACUAAACGCCUGUUGAACACCUUUUAUGUGCCAACCACUGUCAGUUAGUGGAGGCACAGACAAGAGUGAGAGGUGAGCUCAGUUGAUGGUAUUUAGGUGGGUCUAUUUCUGGGCUCUCUAUGCUUCUCCAUUGACCUAUUUGUUUAUUUUUUUCUCUUUUUUUUGCCAAAGACUUUCUUAAUCUUUAACAAUGUAAUUCCAGUGAGAGAAAAAGAAGUUUCAGAAGUAAUAUUACCAAAUCAUGGGGAAUUGUGGGGGUGGUGAGUGAGUUCAGGAGAGAUACAGAGAGAGAGAGAGAGAGAGAGAGAGAGAGAGAGAGAGAGAAAAUGAAGGCCAUACAAGGUAAAGUGUUGAAUGUUACGUGCUCUGUUGACUGUGGGCCCCAGGAUGUGUAUGAUGGAACUUACUGAAACAGAAUUUGCACAUUUAUAGAAAGGAUGCAGUUUUAGAAAAUAGCUAGUUAUGCUAGCGUCUUGUUUCUUCAUUGAUGCUGCAAUGUUAUAUAAGCACUGAAUCCUCCCACAUUUCCAGCUCUUAUCUAAAAGCUAGAGUGUGUACCACCUGGGUUGAGAGGAAGAUGAAAUGAAAUUGGGGAAGUGGGGAAGUAAAUGGUGAAAAGCAUCCUGAAAGAAACCAACUAGAUAUGUUCAACAAUUCUACCACCUUUGUUGACCUCUUCUUCUUCCCCGACUUACUGUUGUAGAGGCUACCUGAGCUCAUUGUCCCUGGAGAUGGACCAAAUAGAAAAACAAGCAGUGCCUGUGUGGUGAGUUUCAAGAGGCAUCUGUUCUCUGGGGAGUGGGUGGGUGGUAAAGCAAAGUUGGCAGAUGUGCAUAUUAGCUAUCCAUUACUGUAUAAUUAAUUAUACACAAAACUAAACUAUACACUAAACUAAAACUUCACAGCUUAGAACAGCAAGUAUGUAUUAUCUCACACAAUUUCUGAGAGUUAGGAACCUGAAAAUGGCUUAGCUAGUUUGGUUCUGGCUCAGGGUGCCCUAUGGAGUUGCAGCCAAGAUGUCAUCUGGGACUACUAUCAUUUGAAGGCUCAGCUGGGGCUGGAGGCUUCACUUCCAAGAUGGCUCACUUAUAGGGCUAUUGGUGGGAGGCUUCAGUUCCUCUCCACGUGGAACUUUCCUCAUGGCAUGGAACUGGCUUCCCUCAGAGUGAAAGACCAAGAGAGACACUAAGACAGAAGAUGCAAUGUUUUUAUGACCUAGUCUUGGAAGUGACAUACUGUCAUUUCUACCAUAUUUAUUCAUUAGAAGCAAGUCAUUAAGUCCAGCCCACACUCAGAGUGAGAGGAUUUAAGCUGAACCUCUUGAAGAAAUGGUAUCAAAGUAUUUAUGGACAUUUAAAAAACCACCACAAUACAUAUAGGUGAACUUCACAAGGUGCAGACAUGGGCUGAGACAGAAUAUUGGAUAAUAUCUCAUUCUGCUAACAGCAGUCUCAUCUGUAAUAAAAUUCCAGCAUUCAGCAAUUAUCACAAUCAAGUAGGAAAAGGGCUUGUUGGCAAAAACUUAUCAAAGAUGUUACUUCAUUUAUCCAUUUAUUCUGAGCCACAGCAUAAUAGCAACAAAUUGUGUGUCCUGUGUAAUUUGGGUACCUCUGCUCAAUAAUAGCUGAACAGAUUUUAUCCUAUUUUUAGAAUGGUUAAUAUAUACACAUGGCACAAAAUUUAAAAGGUAUAAAAGUUUCUGGUUCAAAAAUAAGAUUCCCUCCUUUUCUUUUUUUCUGAUUCUUUGAAUGCAAUCAGAUUUACUGAUUUCUCAUGUAAUCUUCCAUGUAUAGCCUAUGCUGUACAUGUAGGUACACAUAUUUUUUCUUUCCCACAGAUAAAAUACUGUACGCAUUGUUUUA